GACCGCGUAGCUCAGUUGGCAGAGCAUUGGUCUAGUAUUCCUAAGGUCGUAGGUUCGAUUCCCACUGUGGUCA
rnacentral:tRNA from 1 species